GAGUAACGCGUGGGAACGUACCCUUCACUACGGAAUAGCUUCUGGAAACGGAAGGUAAUACCGUAUACGCCCUCCGGGGGAAAGAUUUAUCGGUGAAGGAUCGGCCCGCGUUAGAUUAGUUUGUUGGUGGGGUAAUGGCCUACCAAGACUACGAUCUAUAGCUGGUCUGAGAGGAUGAUCAGCCACACUGGGACUGAGACACGGCCCAGACUCCUACGGGAGGCAGCAGUGGGGAAUCUUGCACAAUGGGCGAAAGCCUGAUGCAGCCAUGCCGCGUGAAUGAUGAAGGCCUUAGGGUUGUAAAAUUCUUUCGCCAGGGAUGAUAAUGACAGUACCUGGUAAAGAAGCCCCGGCUAACUUCGUGCCAGCAGCCGCGGUAAUACGAAGGGGGCUAGCGUUGUUCGGAAUUACUGGGCGUAAAGCGCGCGUAGGCGGGCUAUUAAGCCAGAUGUGAAAGCCCGGAGCUCAACUCCGGAAUUGCAUUUGGAACUGGUAGCCUAGAGACCAGGAGAGGUUAGCGGAAUACCGAGUGUAGAGGUGAAAUUCGUAGAUAUUCGGUGGAACACCAGUGGCGAAGGCGGCUAACUGGACUGGUACUGACGCUGAGGCGCGAAAGUGUGGGGAGCAAACAGGAUUAGAUACCCUGGUAGUCCACACCGU
rnacentral:rRNA from 1 species